UACAGAGGCCUCGAGCGUUAGGCGGAAUCACUGGGCUUAAAGCGUGUGUAGGCGGACUUCUAAGUACCUUGUGAAAUCCCAUGGCUUACCCGUGGAACGGCUGGGUAUACUGGUUGUCUUGAGCCACUUAGGGGCUACCGGAACAAAUGGUGGAGCGGUGAAAUGCGUAGAUAUCAUUUGGAACGCCAAUGGUGAAAACAGGUAGCUGGGAGUGUGCUGACGCUGAGACACGAAAGCCAGGGGAGCGAACGGG
rnacentral:rRNA from 1 species